rnacentral:rRNA from 1 species
UGCCAGCCGCCGCGGUAAGACGGAGGGUGCAAACGUUGUUCGGAAUCAUUGGGCAUAAAGGGCACGCAGGCGGCCCAGUCAGUCAGUUGUGAAAGCCCACGGCUCAACCGUGGAACUGCAUCUGAUACUGCUGGGCUAGAGAAUGGUUGGGGUGAGUGGAACUCCUGGUGGAGCGGUGAAAUGCGUAGAUAUCAGGAGGAACACCAGUGGCGAAGGCGGCUCACUGGACCAUUACUGACGCUGAGGUGCGAAAGCUAGGGUAGCGAACGGGAUUAGAUA